rnacentral:rRNA from 1 species
CGCAGAACCUUACCAGCUCUUGACAUGCCUAUGAAUGUUAGUGGAGACACUUUCAGCCUUUCGGGGCGUAGGACACAGGUGCUGCAUGGCUGUCGUCAGCUCGUGUCGUGAGAUGUUGGGUUAAGUCCCGCAACGAGCGCAACCCUCGCCUUUAGUUGCCAUCAUUUAGUUGGGCACUCUAAAGGGACUGCCAGUGAUAAGCUGGAGGAAGGUGGGGAUGACGUCAAGUCCUCAUGGCCCUUACGGGCUGGGCUACACACGUGCUACAAUGGUGGUGACAGUGGGCAGCGAGAUCGCGAGGUCGAGCUAAUCUCCAAAAACCAUCUCAGUUCGGAUUGCACUCUGCAACUCGAGUGCAUGAAGUUGGAAUCGCUAGUAAUCGCGGAUCAGAAUGCCGCGGUGAAUACGUUCCCGGGCCUUGUACACACCGCCCGUCACACCAUGGGAGUUGGUUUUACCCGAAGGCGCUGUGCUAACCGCA